AUUGAACGCUGGCGGAAUGCUUUACACACGCAAGUCGAACGGCAGCACGGGGGCAGCCCUGGUGGCGAGUGGCGAACGGGUGAGUAAUACAUCGGAACGUGCCCGGUCGUGGGGGAUAACGUAGCGAAAGUUACGCUAAUACCGCAUACGAUCUGAGGAUGAAAGCGGGGGACCUUCGGGCCUCGCGCGAUCGGAGCGGCCGAUGUCAGAUUAGGUAGUUGGUGGGGUAAAGGCCUACCAAGCCGACGAUCUGUAGCUGGUCUGAGAGGACGACCAGCCACACUGGGACUGAGACACGGCCCAGACUCCUACGGGAGGCAGCAGUGGGGAAUUUUGGACAAUGGGCGCAAGCCUGAUCCAGCCAUUCCGCGUGCAGGACGAAGGCCUUCGGGUUGUAAACUGCUUUUGUACGGAACGAAAAGGCUCUGGCUAAUACCUGGGGCUCAUGACGGUACCGUAAGAAUAAGCACCGGCUAACUACGUG
rnacentral:rRNA from 1 species